rnacentral:rRNA from 1 species
GACGAACGCUGGCGGCGUGCCUAACACAUGCAAGUCGAACGGUCCGGCACUCAACCGACCCUCAGUCUAACUGUAGGGGAAGUUGAGUGCCGGAUAGUGGCGGACGGGUGAGUAACGCGUGGGCAACCAACCCUGUACAGUGGGAUAACACCGGGAAACCGGUGCUAAUACCGCAUGACACCUAGAUGGUGCAUACUGUUUAGGUUAAAGGGCAAAACCGGUACGGGACGGGCCCGCGUCCCAUUAGCUGGUUGGUGAGGUAACGGCUCACCAAGGCGACGAUGGGUAGCCGACCUGAGAGGGUGACCGGCCACACUGGGACUGAGACACGGCCCAGACUCCUACGGGAGGCAGCAGUGGGGAAUAUUGCGCAAUGGACGGAAGUCUGACGCAGCGACGCCGCGUGAGCGAUGAAGGUCUUCGGAUCGUAAAGCUCUGUCCCUUGGGGAAGAAGGUCUUCGGACUUUGACGGUACCCAACGAAGAAAGACCCGGCGUAACUACGUGCCAGCAGCCGCGGUAAAUAGCGUACG